GUGGGGAAUCUUCCGCAAUGGACGAAAGUCUGACGGAGCGACGCCGCGUGAGUGAAGAAGGCCUUCGGGUCGUAAAGCUCUGUCAUCAGGGACGAACGGCCGGUGGAGUGGAAAGCCACCGGAUUGACGGUACCUGAGAAGGAAGCCACGGCUAACUACGUGCCAGCAGCCGCGGUAAUACGUAGGUGGCAAGCGUUGUCCGGAAUUAUUGGGCGUAAAGCGCGCGCAGGUGGGAUCUUAAGUCCAUUUUUAAAGUUCGGAGCUCAACUCCGUGAUGGGAUGGAAACUGGGAUUCUUGAGUACCGGGGAGGAAAGCGGAAUUCCCCGUGUAGCGGUGAAAUGCGUAGAUAUGGGGAGGAACACCAGUGGCGAAGGCGGCUUUCUGGACGGUGUCUGACACUGAGGCGCGAAAGCCAGGGGAGCGAACGGGAUUAGAUACCCGUGUAGUCC
rnacentral:rRNA from 1 species